rnacentral:lncRNA from 1 species
UGGGCCUGGUAUUACAGCGGCUAAAAACAUGUAAGGUUUUGACAUGCACAUAUCAGGAGGAAGAUUGUACGGGGUAACCAGAACAGGCUAACAUGAAUAUGGAGUGGCUGAUACUUGAGUAUAUGGUGUAAAUCCAUCUGAGCAUAACACAAGUCGGACAUUCCGUAGCUCCGAAGCAAAUUCAGGAUAAACUUGAUCAAAAUGCUUCCAAGCCAUUCCAUCAGAAGGAUGUCGCAACUCACCUGACAUUUUUCUCCUUUCAUAGUUUUCACGAUGCCAUGUCAUUUUACUGGCAGUUUGCAUCGAUGCAUACAACCUUUGCAACCUUGGUAUUAUGGGUAAAUAGAACAUCGCCUUUCUUGGGAUUGGCUUCAUUCUGACUGACCGUGAAUUUCUUGUUACACGAUAUCUUGGUUCUUAACAAAAUUUACAUUCAAGUAAUGCACCGUCAGCUACACCAAAUUUGUUGCUAUAGUACAACAUACACCCGUUAACACAACAGUCAAUUCUCUUCGCUCCGAGUCCUAACUUUGCAACCAAUUGUCUUGCUUCGUAAUAAUUUUUUGGCAAAUCAAGAGGGUGGUCUAUUGUUAUAUCCAACAUCAGUUUUGUUAUCAAGUCCAUGGUGUAUUCUGAAACAAGACAUUCAGACUUGAUACCCAAA